AGUGAACGCUGGCGGCGUGCUUAACACAUGCAAGUCGAACGAGAACGGAUUAUAGCUUGCUAUAAUUGUCAGCUAAGUGGCGCACGGGUGAGUAAUGUAUAGGUAAUAUGCCUCUUACUAAGGGAUAACAAAUGGAAACGUUUGCUAAUACCUUAUACUCCUUAUUAACAGAAGUUAAUAAGGGAAAGAUUUAUUGGUAAGAGAUUAGCCUGUAUUGUAUCAGUUAGUUGGUGGGGUAAUGGCUUACCAAGACUAUGACACAUAACUGGUUUGAGAGGAUGAUCAGUCACACUGGAACUGAGACACGGUCCAGACUCCUACGGGAGGCAGCAGUGGGGAAUAUUGCACAAUGGACGAAAGUCUGAUGCAGCAACGCCGCGUGGAGGAUGACACAUUUCGGUGCGUAAACUCCUUUUAUAUGAGAAGAUAAUGACGGUAUUAUAUGAAUAAGCACCGGCUAACUCCGUGCCAGCAGCCGACGG
rnacentral:rRNA from 1 species